rnacentral:rRNA from 1 species
UACAGAGGGUGCAAGCGUUAAUCGGAAUUACUGGGCGCAAAGCGUGCGUAGACGGUUAUGUAAGUCGGGUGUGAAAGCCCCGGGCUCAACCUGGGAAUGCCAUUCGAGACUGCAUAGCUAGGGUGCGGAAGAGGGAAGCGGAAUUUCCGGUGUAGCGGUGAAAUGCGUAGAUAUCGGAAGGAACACCAGUGGCGAAAGCGGCUUCCUGGUCCAGCACCGACGUUCAGGCACGAAAGCGUGGGGAGCAAACAGG